UAUUCCUAAUCAAUGGCGGAUCUAAACCACGCUUUCACUGAGAUCGGGCAAUUCCCAGUACCUUUGUCGUGAUUUUUCACCUUCGAGAUUCGAGCCCAGUUCUCUAUUCACGCUCAAACUCAAUCUAUCUUCGAGGAGGAAGAAGAAAAAAAUCCAGAGAAAUGGAAAAGCUGAAGAAGAAAAUAGGAUCGAUUUCGUUUUGGAAAUGGGUGAUAGCUUCAAUCAUCUUCAGAUUGAUUCUAAUUUACUUCCCCAAAAAUCUCAAUCUGUCCUCUCGUCCCGAAGUUUCCACUCCGCUCACCAGCUUCCGCCGCUUGGCUGAAGGUUACUGGUUAAAGCAGUCGUCUAUGUCUCCUUAUGCAGGAUCUAUGUACCAUGGUACACCUUUGUUAUUGUCACUUCUCGGACCUCUUACCGUUAAGAGAAUUGAAGGACAGCCUAAUCAUCUUUUGUACAGUUUGGUUUCUGUGAUUGCAGAUGUUGUUAGUGCAAUGCUUAUUCGUGCUAACGGACAGAAUCUUCAGCUUGCCUAUCUCCGUACUUUGGGAUCGUUAGACCUUGUUAAACAAAUAGAAGGUUCAGAGCUCCACUCUUCGGGGGACGUUGCUGCCCUUAUCUACUUAUGUAAUCCUUUCACAAUAGUUGCAUGCGUGGGCUUGUCAACAUCGCCAAUUGAAAAUAUGGUUGUUAUUUUGUGCCUUUAUGGAGCAUGUUCACGACUAAUUCCCUUGGCCGCUUUUGGGUGGGUCAUUGCAACUCAUUUGUCUCUUUAUCCUGCUAUUUUGAUCAUUCCGGUGAUCUUUCUAUUAGGACGUGGUCCAGAUGCUCCUCCUAGGAAAUUGUUUCUGCAAAGGCACCAACAAAAAGGAAGGUUGAAUCAGUCGAAGCUCCCUCCUGGCUUCUCCUGGGGACCCAUCAUUCGUUUUGCAUUUUGGUCUCUCGUCUGGUCAGUCUAUAUGCUGGUUCUUUGUGGCAUUUCCUUGAAACAGUUUGAUGGUUUAUGGGAGAUGUUUAAAAGUACAUAUGGAUUCAUCCUCACUGUGGAAGAUUUGUCUCCAAAUAUAGGUGUCUUACGGUACAUCUUUGCGGAAGUUUUUGAAUUUUUCAGGAACUUCUUUUUGAUAGUUUUCCAUUUCAAUAUUUUAUUUAUGAUAUUGCCAUUAGCCAUACGGCUUCAUCACCGACCCUGUUACUUGGCUUUUGUAUACUUUGCCAUAUGUUCCAUGCUGAAGUCCUAUCCAUCAGUUGGAGAUUCAGCACUGUACUUGGGUUUGUUGGGUUGGUUUGUUAACGAAUUAUCAGACAAGUUAAUGGAAUCUUUUUCCGAUAUUGAAUGGUGUUUAUAAUUGUUUCAUAUUUUAAGCGUUAUUUCUGCCUUACAGAUAUGCAGUUCUCUCUCUUCUUCUUCUGCGGAUAUGUCGGGGUUUCUCUUCUCAGCCCUGUCAUGCACAACCUAUGGAUAUGGAUCUCUUCCUUUUUUAAUGUGCAAUGAGUAGAAGUCCAUUAUUCUUUAGUACCUAUGCUCCGACUCUUCAUUUCUUUUUGUGAAGUAUCCAUGUUCAAAACCUGUGUCCGACGUAUAUUCAGACGUGUGUGGGGGUGUGGGGAUAUGAGCUUCCAAGGACUCUCCAAAUACAUGGAAAAACUUCUAAAAUAUGAAUAUACCCAUAUUGGACAUGGCACUGGCAAUGCAAACUUCUACUUUGCAACAGCUAUGGUUUAUGCUUCCUUGCAGAUUGUCUUGGUUGUCGAGGGUGUGAGUGCCAUGUUAAACCAUGACAGAAAGUUGAGACGCCUAAUCACUGGCAAGCCCCAAGACGCCAAAUCCUGAGUUCUUUCCGAUUCUUCACCUUAACUCAGCACUGCUAGAAAGAUCCUUCUCGUCAGGUUACUGCCACCAUAUCUUUGCUCUCACCACUCUUGCAUUGUAUCAAGAUCAUGCUUACCUUCACUGCAUGGAAUUUGUCGGAAAUGAUCGUUCACUCAAUGUUUGUUUCGCAUGAAUGGUUUCCGGUAACCUAAAAGUUCCGGAGAAUCUUCCAUCACCAUUGAAGUUGUCAAAAAUACAUUCAAAAUUCUUGUCAAAACCUUCAAGUUUUCAAUAGAAAGUAUAGGCUUUUUCACAUUU